AACAAAUCGGGGUUUUAUAGUUACCUCACACUCGAGUGCCGUGUGCAUCUCCUCUCCGCUCGGUACCAAACCCCGGCUGCACCAAAUCGUGUAUUCACCAAAGCCAGCUGCGCUAACUGCGUCGCGGAGGCCCGCGCGUCAGACACCACCCUACGCUACCGGCGUACAAGGCCCACUCAGGUCCCUGCGCAGCCGCACCCCGUCCGCCUAUGGGUGCUACGCUCUGGGCGUACACGCACCACCCAGCCAUUCACUUCGGACAACGCAACUUGCGGAGGGGAACUGCACCACUCUCGGGAUUCCACACGGGCAGAGCGAGCAGUAGGAAAUUCGAGUCUACGCAAACUGCGGAGCCCCGUGGCUCCGCGGUAGUUUUGUUCCAAGAAAGGACGCUGCGGGGGAGUUGGGGCGGCUUCUAACGCAUGCGUGGAGCGCCCUUUACCACUCGCUUUUUAUCCCGGUUUUGCAUGUCGGUUGCUGCAGCCCUGGGGAGGCGGAUGAGUAAUGGAAACUGUAAGCGCAAACGCUUUAGCCAAAAGGUUUCAGAUCGAUAAAUUAAGAUGUUUAUCUAGCCCAUCAUUUUGAGGAGGGUACACAAAGGGAAAAAGGAACCAAUCCCACCCCGGUGAGCAAGAUUUGACUGAUGUCCCUGUCAGAUGAAGAAAUCAAGGUGGUUACAGAGCAUGUGGCAGACCCAGGACUCCAGUGCAAACAGUGUGGCUCCGGAGGCUAUGCUCUUAGCCCUUACAUUACCUUGCCUCUUAUUUUUGUGAGGUUAUCUAUAUUAGUUUCUCUGCAAAAGUUGGUAAUUAAAAAAAAAAAUCUGUAGAACCUUAAACUGGUGGCUUUUCAGUCUAUAAAUGUGGCAGGUCAAUGGAAAUUUUAAAUGGAAUAAAGCAUAGAAUAAAAACGUUUCAAGAUACUUA